UAUUCUGCCCAUUCUUCUUUUGCUUCGUUUUUGCAAACGUCAACGUCAGUUCAGUUGGCAAUGUGCCCAGACGACGCGCACGACAUCAGCGAAACGAAACGAAACGAAACGAAAUGAAACGAAACAAGUUUUUCUGCUGCGGCGCUGCUGCUGCGCAUACGUCACAAUCAUAAGGCAGAGGCAGAGACAGCGGCAGAGGCAGUGUCAGCGAUAGUGGCGGUUUGCAUGCAACCAAGUGAGAGAGUGCGAGGGAGAGCGCGGCAAAUUGCAGUUGCUGGUCCGAGCCGGUUCGUCUUUCGGCUCCUUUUCGUUUUCUUUUUUGCAUGCAUGCCAUGCAAUACUGUGUAUGUAUACCAGUCACACGCACUCACACAGACCCAUACCCUUUGCACAAAGUAUGAUGAUUUUUGCCACAUGUUUGUAGCGCAUAUGUAAUUCUUGGUCUGGAUCAUCAUGUCAUAUGUAAAUAGUAUAUAUAUUUACAUACAUAAGUAUAUAUGUUUGUAUUUAUGUGUAGCUACCAUAGAAGCGAAGGUUCAGCAAGGGUAUCAAACGACGAGCCCCAAAGUUAGUCGUCUCUCAGUCUUCAGUCUUCUUCAAGUUUUGUUGUGACUGUGCUUUGGGUUUUCGUUUUUCGUUUUUCGUCACGUCAUGACAUGACGACGAAGCGUGCAAGUUUUAACAGGCCCCUGCCCUGCUGCUGCCACAUCUCUGGUGCCUGCUUGUUGGCGGCGCUGUUAAGCUCUGCUCUAGCCGCCUCUUUUCGUAUGCCUUGCACGCGCACGCGUAGCCACAAUUUACUUUUGCUGCUGCUGCUGCUGUUGCUUGAUAUUGAAAAAAAAAGAAGGCAGAGACGGCAGCAGCGCUCUUUAAUUUGUAUGCCCAACGGGCACGAGCACAUUGCUCAAAUGUCGACGACGCUGUCAGUUGGAGCCGCCUGGCCGGCAGCCGCACAGUGGGCUGCAUACGAAAUGGCCAGCGAAAUGGCCACUCGCAGCAUUGCGAGUGCUGUUAUAAUUAUUUAUUUGAAGAAAUCAACGAAGAAACAUAAAAAGCUGUUGCUCUAUGGCUAAACUGCUUACGCGGCAGCGGCUGCUACAUGGCUACAGCAAUUGGCAGGGGAGAGACAGACGUCGUCGACAUGGCCAAUUUCGGGGUGUCGCCCAUUGUCGUCGUGCAUGUUGUGUGGCCCCAACAUGUACGCACCAGCACAUAGCAGAUCGUGUGUGUGCGUUUGUGUGUAUAUUUAUAGAAUUUGUUUAUAUUUUGCAUGCGAGAGAGUGAAAAGGCAACAACUGCAGCCAUAAAUGCCAGCGAGAGCAAUGCAACGGAGCUUCCUAUCUCGCUCAAAUCCAUCUCUUUCGCACGCACGCACGCAGCUACAAACUCCUUGCAAGGCAGAAUGGAGAGAAUGCAGAGAAUGGAAAAGAAGAGAGCAGAGAAGAGAAGAAUAGCACAACAGCACAUGGCCCAUUGAGAAGAAGAAUGUGCAGACAGUGGAGUGCACGCCCGAGAGGGACAACAUGCCUGCGCAUGUUACAUACAGUUUCGAGAAUGAAGCCGGGCCGGGCCGGGCCGACCGGCGGCACAGUGGGCCGCAUCCAAUUGGAAUGCAAUGUUUGGAUAAAAAGCACGUUUCACUUUCGACCGCGUCUGGUUGUGUCUCAUCUAUUUCUAUCAUGAACGUAUAUUCGUUUUAGUUUUCUACUCGAACCAACACACACACACACACACACACACACACAUUUUGCCUGCCUAUGGAACCAUAUUCCCGCGAUCGACAAAUUCGCACUACACCCCAGCAGCCCCAGCAAUGAUUCACAAUUUACACUUGGACUACGGAUUAUGGAUUACAGAUGCAGAUACAGUUAUGGGGGAGAAUCGGGGCCACACAUCAUAAACAAAAUUCAAUAUUUAUACAUAUUCGUAUGGGAAUAAAAAGAAACCGUAUUGUGUAUACUCUGUUAAGUAUGUAUUGUAUGUAAAAGAAAUAAACUAUAUGCCAUUGUAUGAAUGAA